AUAGUGGUGUCUUUAGACACCACAUAUUAUUGGACUUAAAAAAAAAU
rfam:Picea glauca, whole genome shotgun sequence.